UAAGCGUUAGCCACUGAGAUAAUCCCAUCUGCUUGUUGAUAGUGUGAGGAAUAUGCAAAAUGCCUUAAAGAUAUUCACAUAUUUGCAUAGUCACAGAUAUUCGCAUAUUCGCAAGUGGCAACACAUGUGUCAGUUCUGCAUCCCUCAUGCUAUCAACAAAAGAACUGGAUUAUUUCCGUGGCUAACACUUAUCCUUCUUUUUCUGUUCUUUAUGUCACCUUCAGUGAUGCCUUUAUAUGCUGCUUCUGCAAAUAACGCAUUUGGUUGCUAGUCAGCGCUCUGACCUGUGCUCUCUACUUGCCCGUCCUGUAUCGCACUGUUUCUGUUUUUUAUUGCAAAGAUGAACCAACCAGCCCCUUUGAACACACUGUUGAGCACUAGGUCUAUCUGUUGUUUAGUUUUUACACUAUGAGUGAUAUGACUUUGUGCAGUACCAAGAGGCCACAAUGCAAAACCAGUUUUGGCCGAUGUGUGCUAGUGAUUUUUGAGUUCUUGUGCAUUUACUCAUUGUCACCAUCUAGUCACCUUAUAGGACAAAGCACUAAUUUCAUAUUAGAAUAAGGGUAUCUGAGGGGCCCAAUAUAUUGUUUAUCGCAAUCAUAUUUCUGUGAAGUUUCAGUACAAUAUACUGUACAAAUUAGUAAUUUAGGUAUAUCAUAUAGCAUAUGCUGCACUGUCAUGCCAAUGAUUAAAUGAGUGCCAAAUGAAGUGUUUUUUUUUUUUACUUUAAACAACGCAAUUCAUCAUUCACAGUAAAACAAUUACUGUUUCUCAAAGAGUGUUGUUCCGUGAAACUGCUACUACUGCCAAAAUCUGUUCCCUACACAUCUUGUGUAUUGAAAGCAGUAUUUUUCUGGAAUCCUUUGGAUUUUCAUCUCUUGCAGUGGCGAGAUGUGACAAAUACGACAGUUAAGUGCUCUGAGGAAAAAAGAAUAAGAAGGAAGACACAACACACAAUUUCGCAUUCCUUAUUUAUCCUCAUUUUAAUGCUCUCUCUGUGGCACACUGAAUUACAACUGUGUUCAGAAGCACUAUAUUUUUUAAUAACAUACAUUUCACUUUAUACAGAGAUGCAAAUGGCAGUAUAAGAGGAUGAGGGGUUACAUAUGACUAAGUUUCAGGGUUGAAAGGACAGCUUUGCAUCUGUCACUUGACAAACCAAGCUCUGCUAACUGUCUAAUCUGUCCUGACUGUUGUAUGCUGACUAGAAGGCAUCUUCCUUCCCGGAAUAAUGAAUCUCUGCAUAAAGAAGUCCACCUUUCGAAGGAGGUUUCCAUUGCAUGCAUUCCAAAAUAAUUAUGAAAGUCUUUGAGUGCUCCAAUUUUGCCAAAAUAAUGUGAUCCACUGGUGACAGCCAUGAUUAAGCUAGAUUGUGCUCUCGAACUUGCCUUGAAUCUAAGCACAGCAACAUUGCAGUGAGAAUUGCAGGCAUUAUAUCAUCAGGGACCACAUUCUAAAUUGAUCGCUUUGACAUGCAUCACUUUCGGUAUUCACUGAUUAGCUGAGCCAGCAAACGGUGCUCAUCACUAGAGUGCGUAAUCAUGCUGCUGUAUCAGACAGUGUUGAAAGUAACCCUGCAAGUGAAUGACUCGGAAUACCAUCCAAGCAGAAAAUGCUUGCCGUAAGUUUUUUUAAAGCGACUAAUACCGAUUUUUAAGGACCUAGUUUUUUAUGGCGCAACAUAAAGCUCACCCUCGGUAGUGUUUACAUCUGCGCUGGUUACUUUGGAAAGUACAUGGGUAUUUAGUAAGCAGAGUUCUUCGAUCUGAGCAGCCUCUAAAAAAGUAAAGAUUCCCUCUUCCAGCAACGCUGAGAAGUGAGACCUAUGUUGAUAGCCUCACCUUGCAAAUUGUGAAAGCCACCCAUUUUAUUAUAACACAGUUACAUGACACCGUCUACCCCAUGUUAAUCAAAUAAAAAAAAUUAAGUCCUUCCUUUAUGCUUUUGAGUUUGGUACACAGCAAGAACCACUUGCAACUUUUAUGCCUCCUGACUUGGAUAUAUUUGUCCAAACUAUUCUGUACUUUAUUUACACUGCCUAGUUAGCUAGCAUAUCAACUGAUUGAAAGUCCUAUAUUGUUUAAGAGCUGGCACAGAAGGCCGCUGCAAGGGAAGGAGGAGGUGUCAGACUGCACAUCAUUCACUCUUCUUCAGGAUAGUGUCUUGGUCCAGCCUAUCCAUUAUAGUAUAAUUCACAUGUGCUUCCUGCCACAGUUAAUCAGUGGCCAUAGCAUUCUGCUGCUGGCUACAUGGUUGUGGGUUCAAUCCAAGGCCACGGCAGACACAUUUAGAAGGCGGCAGAAUGCAAAAGUGCUGCUGUUGUGUUGCCUUGGGUGCACAUUAAAAAAAACAAAAAGAACACUGGUGGUCAAAAUAAUUUGAUGCACUCCACUAUAGUGUUUAAUAGUCUGCGAGUCACCUGGGAUAUUAAACUGCAAAUUUUAAUUUAUUUUUAACAACGGGGCUUGUAAUGUUUAUGCAAGUUGUCAUUUGCUGUGUUUCAGUUCCAGUGUCACUGGUGCAAAGAGUUAUUGUGGCACUUAAGUUAAAUCCACCAUUUGUUACAGUGAGUCUACUGCAGUUUUUACUUUGAAUGCCAUAUGCAUUCAAAAAGACCGUGUUUGUCACAUGCAGAUAGCUUUAGUGUGGAACUUUCUUCCCUGACCUUCUUGUUGAAGUGUUCGUCUAGAACUUACAUAUGCAAGCUUUUAACUGACGUGCACACCUCGCUUCACACUGCCAAUGCAUGGUGUACAGACUGUGCCUUUUUGGCUCCUCAAGAAUGUUGUUUUAUGCUCUCCAUCUUCUGAAUGUGUUUGCAGAUGUUCUCAGUGUUCAUAUUUAUGCCGUGAUAGAUAAAUGUGUAUACAUCAGUCUCUUACAGGUGCCUUCUUUUAUACUGUGAUAUGCUGAACAAUCGCAUUAUGUCUGCUCUGUGUCUCAAUCUGUGUUGACCUUUGCAAAGUAUUCCCAUCUUCACUUAGAAAAUUGCCAUUUAUACACGCACCAUUUUACUUCUUGCAUUGCAAGUGUGUAUGUUGCCCUGUGUACCAGCAUUUCAUUUCAGUUGUUCCUGAGUUAUGAAUAAAGAUAACUUACCACUGUACUACUUUUCUAUUGUAUAAGUGAGUGUUUCCAGGCUCUCACAGGUGAUUAAUCUUAGCUUCUAGCAUUUGUAGGCUAUACAGAAUGAGCAGUAAGUGCAUGGCCAUGAGACAGUUGAUCCUGCCUGGUUAGCCUACUGUGUAAACUUCAUAAGCAUGCUGCAUGAAAAAUUGAUUAAGCACGUUUCUCUCACUUGCAGUAGUGGUGGAAGGGAUUCUCCAAGGACACUGGAAAACAAUGCAUAUAAAGGCUGCGUAACACUUUCAAGCACUUAUCUAAAUAAUUUUUUGCAAAGUCCAUAUUUAGUUGACACACUUGAAACUUUACCCACAUGUAAACCACGAGAUGCCCUAUUCCUUCAGAAUGUAAACUCUGUGUCAUGUUCAAUUCUUUCAGGACAAAUUCUACAUGGUUUGUAAAACACUAUUCUAGCACUCUGGAAUGCAUGUGUUAGUAAUUUUCUAUAAAGGCCGUAAUUAUAUCCAUUUUAAAUAUUGAUUUCAAAUCACCAAUAAUGUGCCUCAAUCCAUCUCAGCAUGCAAACUCAAUUUCCCUGCCAUGUUUAGAUUUCCCAGAAAGGCGGGAAGAAAAGUACUUGCUUUAUUUAAUGCCCCUAAAUAGGAAGAAAAUAUGACUUUAGCAGUUGUGUCUAAACUAAAUUACCUACUAACUAAUUUAGCUUUCACUGCACAUCACCCAUAAGAUCCCCCACCAAUUGUAUGAAUUUGCUGCCACUUUUGCUUCUUCCAGAACGCUGGAGAAAUAUUUUCUACAUUUUGAUUACACCGUAAGCAGGAAGAAAAUGAGUGUUAACAACUCUGUGCAUGAUGGAGUACUUCUUUCAGGACUCUAGGAAAACAUGCAUAUAACAUUUUCAGUUAUUUCUAGCUGCACUAUAACAGUGUCACUCAAUAUCAAUCAGUUAUGGCAUCCAGCUUGCAGCCAAGCAGCUUGCGCCAUCAUUUUACAGACAGAAAUACCUACUCUGUGGUUCUAAAUUAUAAGUGAUAUGCCAGCAGUGUGCAUAGAUUGAAGCACUCUUGUCGGUUUUUAUUGCAAGAGGCAUGUGGGCCUCGUUCUUUGGAAACAUGAUUGGGAAGUUUGGAAUUUGUAUGCACAAGACUGCAGCGAUGUCACUUUUUUACUUUCAUUUUGUAAGUUUUCUUUAAAGCAUGGGAAGAAAGAGUCACAAUAUACGAGAUAUCAUUUGGAUACAACUUUGUUGGGGACGUAACGUGCUCAGCAACUUCUCAAAUAGGAGAAACAGAUAGUCUGAGUGAAUCAAGCUGGGUAUGAGGAAUCUGCUGUUUGUCUCAUUUUGCAUGUUAAGUGCCACUUUUUAAAAUAAAUUUUGUUGAACAAGGUUAAAAUAAUGAAACAAUUUUAUUCCAGUUCUUUUCUUUCUUGCACUUCAUCAGCUACACCUAUAUGAUUACAAAGAUUGGAUAGUCAAAGGAUGGUAAGAUAAGAUUAUAUAUAAAAUCAAAUGAAAGGAAUCCUUACAUUAUUUCAGUCCGAGCAUAAUAAAUUGGUCUUGGCUCAUGUAUUUGAUAGACAACAGUCCCUGUGUUAUUGUGAACUACUGACAUAGUACAUAUCCACCACACGCACUAUCAGUGUCAUUAAAUGGGUGCAAUCAAAAGCAGGCAGAAAGUGUGCAAGGAGUAGGAUCGGAAACCCAAAAGGACAAACUUAGAUUAAUGAUUGUGAGAAAGUUGAGCAUAAAGACAGGAUGAUAGAGGUUUUAAGGGUAGACGAUAAAGGACGAAUUGAUGUGCAUUGAAUGACAAGGGUAGCCUAAUGCAUUACAGCAUCACAAUACUUUUUUUUUCUUCUCUCUCAAUGGAGAAAGUGGUGCAUGCAGUUAAUUGAACUCGUUGAGCCCACUUCUUUGUUUGAGCCACUGUUCAAGUCAAAUAUAUCCCUAGAUCUAAAGACUUUAGGAAUCGUGGACUAAAAGCUUGUUACGUUUUUUUUUUUUUUUUUGCCGUUUUCGGUCGACCUACAAUGCCUACUACCCACACUCCACUGAUUCUAAAGAAAAAAACAUUUACAGCCACUUUAGCAUAUGCCAAAGAGGGCGAAGGUGAAAGCCUGUGUGCUCAAGCGAAAUUCAUGAGAGUACUUGACAUUCUCAUGCCAAUGCAAUGCAAUGUGUUGUCACUUCUAAUUAUUUUUCUAUUGAGUGCCUUGAUUGACGCUACCUUAAUUAACUUCGCCCUAAUUAACACCAACGGUAGCCAGUUAGACUCCCACCAAAUAUCGUGGGUUCGAGAACCUUAACUCUACAUUGAUUAACUGCCUUAAUUAUAUUUAGCUUCGCCUUAAUUAACACCCCUGGCCGUACGUGGGUUCGAUUGCCGCAUAAGCUCGAGGGUUCUAGAGCCUGAAUCAACUCUAUCUUAAUUAACUUUGCCUUUAUUUUUAAUUUUGGCACUAUGAGCGGCAUCGGAGGCAGCUGCGGAAGAAGACGAUGAACGCGCGAGCAGUGGCACGAGCGCGUGUCUGUGCGAGGCGCGAUGGCACCGGCAAGGAAUAUACGAAGUUGGGGAUUUCUGAAUGGUUGUCCUAGGGAAAUGUCGGCUCAAGUUUGCAGCAAAAAAAGAGACCGGUUCUUCUUUAUGCGCCGCUUGAACGUGCCCAACACGUGACGUCUGCGCAUCUCAUUUGCUUGUUAUUGCCGUGCGCGUGUAUAAGCUGCGUGCUCCUUUGGUGCGUAGGGUGCAGUAGUAGUGUUUGUUGUGGGUGUUGCUGGCAGCCGAGUGGUCCGCCAGUCCACAUUUUUCACCGUUUAUGAAAGCCGGAGCAAACCAAAGGCCUGCCUGAAGCAGCUUUUGUCACUUCCAACCCAGCAUGGAUCCUUUCAUCAAGCUUUUCAUGGAGUGUGUCUGUUUCAGUUUUGUACUCAAUCUGGCACACACUUUUGAUGAUGAAUUUGAUGCUAAAAAAUCAGCAGCCCAGUGGCUAUGCCGUCGCAGUGUUGAGCUCAAGAAUCCUGGCCGCAACGGUUGCAUUUCAGUGGGGGUGAAAUGCAAAAACACUGAUGUUCGUAAAUUUAGGUGCACGUUAAAGAAUCCCAGGUACAGUCAUGGCAACGGAGGUGCAUUCGAAAAAUCUUGUUCAUCCAACCCAUUGUACUGCUUACAAGCGUUUUGUGGGGCAGUUCCGCGAAGCAUCCUGGUGGGCACAUGGCCGUCCAUGUGCGACGCCGACCCUAAAUAAAUGAUGAAGAAGCUAGUUCCCCUCAUUCAUUCAUUCAUUCAUUCAUUCAUUCAUUCAUUCACUCACUCACUCAUUUUAUUUCAGCAUUACGGUACAUUACAGCAUGUAUUCCUACUGUAAGGUGGAAUUAGCUGCAAAACACUCGCACCAUCUCUCGUACUACUGUGCAGUUGCGCCAACUUCUGCCACAGCAUAUGCUAUGCGGUGAACCCAAAUUCUAGGAGAUGUGAGAGACAUGCAGGGAAAACAACAUCAGGGGUCGCGAGAGUCGAGCAUCUGAACAACUGUCGGCGGUGAACGAAUGCAAAAACGCGAAUUAGCAGGAACAGGCUCCUUUUGCUCUCCUUGUCCCUGUCCUUCUUUUUUCUGCACUGGUUCACUAUCAAUGAUGCAGUAAACCUGCCCAGAUUGCCACCUUCCUGCAGACAUCUGUAUUGUUUACAUUUGUGCGGUAAAGUGUACUGUGGGAAGGAUAAUUUGAGUACCCGUUUGUGUAUGGACAAGUUUCAUUUAUGGUUGUGAAUGCAGCUUAUUCCUGUAAAUGGAACAUCUACGGUAAUUAGACAGUUGAAGCUUUCUUACUCCUUUGUUACAUGUACACAAAUCUGCCGUUUUAUAUUGGUUGCUGUAAAAUGGUUCGGGAGACAGAACUACACAAGCUACUUAAUCUGAAUUUCUUCUUCUUUCUCUGCUCAUCACAGUCCCCAGAAUAUCUAUACGCAUUGUGUGAAGUAACUUCUCAACUAUGCUUACAGGGCACGAGAUUCACCGGGUACAUACCCCGCCCCUGGAACACACCCCAAUAAGUGUGCCUAUUGAAGUGAUCAUUGGUUUCUCUGUUAUGGCGGUGUUAGUACUGACCUGUUUCAUCAUAAGCUGCACCUGCCAUCGACGACACCCUGAGUGGUUUCCAACAAGACCUCGCACUCUAUCACCAAUGCUACCGACUGGACCUCCAGUGACAUCGGGGGCAACUACACAAGGAGUAUAUGCUCCACUCCCAGGAACAACUCCAGCUCUGGUUGCACCGCCACAAGUGUAUACUCUGGUUCCAGGUGCAGCUCCAGCUCAUGUGAUGUAUCCACAACAGACUUACUAUCUGCAGACGAAUGUGCCACACCCACAGGGCGGUGUCAACGCGAGUAACACCAUGGCACCUCCGGCACAGCUGUUGUCUGCUGCACCGCUGCCAUCACAGCCUGCACCACGCUCUCGUUACGGUCACGCAAAUUCCAAGGAUAUCUCCAAGGUGCCGCUGUGCCAUGACUGGUGAAGCCGCGAAGCAAUGCCUGGGUUGAAACCAGGCUCUUUCGUGGCUUUGCUCUUUUGCCUUGCAUUACCUUUGCACAGAAGUGCUUGGUAUUGUUAUCCGUCGGACCUGCCACAGUGAACCAGUUGCUAUGGAUUUGUGCUGCCGAGCUUGAGAUUGCGGGUUCAAUACGGGCCACGGCGGCAGCAUUUCAAUAGGGGCUAAAUGCGAAUACAUUUGAGCAUUUAGACUUAGGUGCGCGUUAAAGAACCCCAGGUUGUCAAAAAUAAAUCCAGAGUGCCCCACUACAGCGCACUUUUUAAUCAUAUUGUGCAUUUUGCACGUAAAACUCCAGCAUUUAAUUUAUUUUUAGUUACAUGUCUGGCAAAAGUUUGCUUUUUGCAAUGUGGAUAUAUCAAAGUUCAAUUUGCAGGCAAAGUGCAAGACAAUGCCGGGGCUGUUAUACCAUUGUGACUUGCCGAUAUUGGCAGGAAUUGUAGCAACCAUGUUUUGAAGUUGGAGGAGGACAAAUGGUUUUAAUAACGACAUGGAUAUAACAAAGUAAAUCUAAAAUGUUUCUCGCCAAUAUCAGUGUAUAAUGAAUAUACACUUAUAGUGGAUAUUGGACACAAUGCAUAUUUAUUUUCAUGUCAUUUGUGACACAACUAUGCUCAUUUGUAUUUCUCUGUAGAUCAGCUGCCCCAUGCUGUUGUUGCUUUUAUCACAGAAUGGAGUCUCUUUUCAGUGUGGCCAGACCCAUAUAUAUUUUACUGGCCAGGUUUAUGAGUUUGUCGCCAUGUGUCAUCAAGUUUUAGUAAUUAAGUCGCAUACUGUAUACCUGGAUAUAUCGAAUUCACAUAUAACAAAUUAUUGUGUAGAACGAAUAGCUGUUAAAUCUUGCUGAAAAUUUUUGUAUACGUUUACUUUGUAUAUCGAAUUACCUAUAUACAUCAAACUUUUUUGUGAUCUCCUUCAGAUUCGAUAUAUCCAGUUUCGACUGUAUAUCCAUAAGUCUGUUGCUAUGUGUCGCUAAGCUUCAGUAACCUCGGGUCACAUACUAUAUAGUAUAUCCGAGAUAUAUACAACUUUUUUUUUUCGGAUUGCUAUUUAGCAACUACAGUCCUGUUAGCUUACUUGGGAGUUUCAGUGCCAAAUAAUAUUGUGAGCACUGUUAAUAACUUUCAUGUCACAAUUGGGUGUGUCGCCUUCCUCUCUCUCUCUCUCUGGAAGGUUUCAUAAUAUAAGGGUUACCACGCAUGUGGUGGAGGUGCGAAUUAGUAACUGUACCAAGUAACUUAUGACAUUGUACCUGUAUAUUGUACCAUCAUCCCAGUUAUGGAGUGAGUUGCCAAGUGAACUUAUGUGAUUGCUCUCAACUUAGUUAUUAUUUUACCAUGAACAAGCUCGGUUUAGUCAUUCACAGUGGGAACCACAGUGCUUCUUCAGUGUGGCUCUUCCGAACAUUUACUGUCCAAAAGUGUUUCCUUCACAUCUUCUGUGCUUAAUGCAGUAAUUCACUCGGAUCAACUAGAUCUGCAUCUCUUCCAGUGAUGGGACAUAUAGAGCACACUGCAUUAAGGAAAAAUAAGGAAUGCGUAACACAAAAUUGCGUGUUUCUUAUUCUUUGUCCUCAUUUUAAUACUCUCUUCGUCAUUUACUAAAUGCAGCCGUGGUUAGAAGCACCACUUCUAUUUUCUUGCGUUUCACUUUUUAAAUGUUAGUGUGAACCAUGCGACAGAGGUGUACAUGAUAUUAUGGUAGAAUGAGGGGUUGGGUACAAGAGGGGGUUGGAGGGGUUGAGAGGAUGCCAUUUCAUCUACCCUUCAGCAAACCGUUUAUGAAAAGCAAACCCUGCACCACCUUCUUUGGACAAGGCCCAGGCUUCAAUCUGUCCGUUGACAUCUCCAUUGUGUGGGUGUUCAUCUCAGCUAGCCACCAGACUUUCUCAACUCUCAUGGACCUCAUUUUCACUCUUUCUUGAACUUUACAUUAAAAACAGGGUUUUACAAUUAUGCCUUGUAAAAUUUUUGAUGCCACAAGACAAAUUAAUGUUAAAAGCAGUAUCAAUUGUCUUGUACUGACAGGAAGGUAUCUAUUCCUUCACUGAAUAAUUCCUUUGGUGCGCGUAUCAACCACAGUCAGUCAUUUUGCAGGUUGUAGAGUGUUGAACUUGCUACAAUACAGUAAGCAACAUUUUUAUUGUCCUGUUUAUGUUCAGGCUUUUAAGACAAGCGUGUAUGUGUCAGUGCUUUUACCUGUGCCUUUUUUUACACUGUGAUAUAUCAAGACUUUUGCAUCACCAUCUCGGUUGACUCUUACACAAUGUGCCUGUGUUCAUCAAGCUGUGCAUGCCGACCUGUACACCGGUAUCACAGUUGUUCCCGGGUGAUCAAUAAAGAUAAUUUACCAUUACUUAC